ACCGUUUGCCUAGAGCGUGAAACGGAGCGGGUCGCGCGCCCCGGCGCUCCGGACGGAAGGAGAAGGCAGCGUGGCGGCCCCACCCCGAGUCCCUGGCAGCCCAGACCUGGCGAAGGGUGAAGAAGCCUGGCUCCAGAACUAGGUGGUCAGGGGGUCAGGUAGUAGGAAGCCACGGAGCCGGCUCUCCCGGGUGCCUCGCGCCUCCCGGCGCCGCCCAGCGCCCUCUGCCCUGGACCUGCAGACUCGACGUCUGGGUGGGGGCAAGAGUGUUCCGAUGGCGCCUCGGCUCGCGCUUAGCGAUCCUGCGCUCGCUCACUCUGCAGCGCCAGCCUCGGGAUUAGGGGAGAGGAGUGUAGUGCGGAGCUGUAUGCAGAAGAGCGUGCGGCCAGCGGAGACCGCAGUCUCGCCGCAUGGGAGCCUCGCAAGUGGCUCUGGAGUUGAGUCCUGAUUCCAGAAGAGCUCCAGGGAGGGAGGGGAAGGAGGGAGAAAAAAAGGGAGGGAGGGAGGGAGUGGGGGGAGGACGGGAUUAACCCGUUAUAAUAGCUAAUAUUUAUAUAACACUGUGGGGCAGGUGGUAUUGUGAGUGCUUUCACAUAUUCAUUCAGUCUUUAUCACAACCCCAGGAAGCGGGUACUAUUAUUACUGUCACUUUACAGAUGAGGCAACUAAGGCAGAGAGAGGUUAAGUAACUUGCCGAGGUCACACAGCUAAGAAGUGACAGUGAGGAUUUGCACCCAGUCCAUCAACUCUAGGCCCUGUGCUUUUCAACAGUCAGGGAACGCGGCAGGAGGGCACUGAGUCCUCUAAACGGCCUUAGUCAUGGGAAGCAGAGAUGAGUUUGCUCUGUAGAUAAUUCGGUAUGCUCUGGACACCUCAGAUUAUGGGGAGAAUGACAGUUGGGAGUAGGUUACAUAUUUUUGAGAAUUUGUGAGAUUAUGUCUAAGUCAUAGCAGAAGAAGAUAUAGUAUUUCUUCACUCUUAAUGUUGAAGGCAAAAAAAAAAAAGUUAUAAAGGAACAAAAACACCUAAACAGCCCAUGAAUAGGAAAAACACAAAGGAAUAUAAUACAUCAAGCAUUUAAAAAAAUCUCGAGAACAGGGGAUACACUUGUGCUCUUUAGUACUUUCUAAGUGUUUCUAAUUUUAUAAUCAGGAAAUAUGUAUAUAAGAUAUAUGUAUAUAUAAUUGCUGUGUACAUUGUAUGUAUUUAAAAAAAACUUGGGGGGUUAUAGCUUAAUGAGAAUUUGACAUCAAGAAUAACAUCUUUGAGACCAGCCUGGCCAACAUGGUGAAACGCUGCCUCUACUAAAAAUACAAAAAUUAAUCAGGCAUGGUGGUGCACGCCUGUAAUCCCAGGUACUCGGCAGGCUAAAGCGAGAGGAUCGCUUGAGCCUGGGAGGCAGAGGUUGCAAUGAGCGAAGAUCAUGCCACUGCACUCCAGCCUAGUCGAGACUCCAUUUCAAAAAAAAACAAAAAAUGACAUCUUCAGUUUUGAAAGGCCCCAGAUCGACACUUGUAAUAUGAAUGUCACAUUCUGGGGCAUGGCCCAUUCCAGAAAGUGGCUAAAAAUCUUCUAUAUAUUUACUCUGUAUUAUUAUAGUCAUCUGAUGCAAAAAAAAAAAAAAAUUGUAAACUUUGGUGGGGUUGAUAUUUUAAAAUUAAAUUUAAUUGGAGUUCAGACUUUUAUUUUAGGUAACCUUUUGAAAAGGUUACAUCCCCUUAAAUGCUUUGAACAAAAUUCUUCCAUCUUCAUAAAGAGAUGCUUUUAUUUAAAAAAUAGCAGACAGGGGCUGCACUGGAUGAGUUUCAUGGGAAAGAGAAGUUGGAGCGGAGAGUGUGGCUAGUUCUCUGAGGGCACAAACAGGAUGCAAGACUGUACCAUACAAAUUUAGACAAUUGUAUUGCUGGGAUGGUCCUUGGGUUUUCAUCAUUCUGCAGAGGAAACUAGUGUUUUUGAAGUUCCAGGACUCUCUUACUUGGACCAACUAAAUCUAUUUCAACUAGAUCACGACUGUCACCCUUAGAGAUGGCAUCAGUGAACAGUAACGAUAUCAUCAUAACACCACAUAUUCACAGGGUACGUUUCACUAGAACAUUCUCACCAGGACCCUUCUCGUUGGGCCCUCUGAAGCAGCAGGCGGGAAGGGCAGGCAAAAGGGUAAGAGCUUAUGUCCUUUUGUGAAAGACAGAUGUGGCUCAGCCUCCUACCUGGAACACAUUCUCUAGUCUGAAUUUUGUCAUUACACCUGCCCUUCCCCGCCCCCCGCCCCUCACCCCGCCAAUGAUGCCUUCAGGGUAGGGGUGGCUCAGACACUGCGAGUGGCAUCCUGUCUAAAGCAGGAAGUGACUUGAGGCUGGAGGAGGUUGGUCCUCUUCCCCUUCCCCAUCCCCGGCCCACCCAACAGCCGGUGGAGCUGCUCCUCUUUAGACACUGAAAAAUACAUGAAAGGGGAGAGAUUGCUCCUUAAAAACCUAUUCUAGGGAAGGGGACAAUUAGCAGGCUCUAUUUCCUCCUGUUAUUAUCUGCAUCGGUGCUGUACAAGGUCGAGUUGCUUAGUGACAGCGAGGUGGGGUUGGGGAUAUCUACACUUGCCGCGAGGGAGGGGAGAGCAGGAACUCACGGCCUCAGAUGAGUCACCUUAGGCAGGGCAGGCAUUAUUUAAAACUCCGCGUGUGAGUUUCUCUGAUUAUAUACUAACACACAUCACGGGCGGCACCGAGGGAGGAGCGCGUCAGAGAGAAGUAGGCUGGGCGUGAACUGCCAGGCAGGAGAAGGCCGACUUGGGCAGAACAUUCACUGCCAGCGAUCCAGAGCAGACAAUCAGGUACCUGGCCUGCGCCCGUGAACACUGCCAUGGAUUUAUUUUCUGUGCGCUCACUAAUGUCCAGUUCACGCACAGUGCCUCCCAGCUCCCCAACGUAAGAAAAACCCAUUUCCAGAGAAGCUCAGAGAGGUGCAGUGACUUGCUGGAGGACUGAGCUAGGAACAGCAGAGUGGGCACAUGCUCCACAGGCCGGGAAACGCCCAGCUGCUAGGGGUCCCCGUGUCCCUAGUGCUGUCCCUUUCAGGUCUCAUCCUCUGCUCCUAUUUGGCCUCAGAUUUCACGCUGAAUUAAAACACAAAGGCCAAGAAGCAAUUAUCUCUGGAAAAAUCUUUUCAGAACUGUGUAAUGAGUGAAGGUACCCCAAGGAGAGCCAUUCUCUGGAGAGGAUCUGGAAGGCUCCGGCUGUGGUGAAGAGCCAAGAUGUGAGAGUUGGGGUGGGGGUGGGGAGAAGGUGGAGGUCAAGCCCUGGGUACCUGGGAGUAGCAUCCGAGGGACAGGUUGUCCACUGG
rnacentral:lncRNA from 10 species